rnacentral:lncRNA from 1 species
UAAGAGUGUGAUUUCCAGUUACGCUAAAAUGCCAGGCUGUUCCAGUGCCUCAGAGCUUGAGGACAGCAGAAUUAAUGUGCUGCUGGGCCUGUGGGAGAAGCCAGGAUUUGGGGAGUCUUGGGGAGGAGUUGCAAGUCCCUUGUAGCAUCAAGCAUCAAGCAUCAAGCAUCACGCAUCACUAUAUGCAAAUGCAGGACUGGCCAUUGCAAGGGGUAGGCUAACACAGGAAAUGCCUGCAAAGCACAGGAUCCCCCAAUGCCAAAGAAUACUGGGGCAAGAAGUGAAGAAAUGUCUGUUCGAUAAGUGAUUCAGAAGAGACUAUCAAAAGGAAAGGUAACAGCCGAAAUAAAAGCCGCACGCUCUGUGAUAAAGGCUGCUUG